rnacentral:rRNA from 1 species
AGGGUUUGAUCAUGGCUCAGGACGAACGCUGGCGGCGUGCCUAAUACAUGCAAGUAGAACGCUGAAGAGAGGAGCUUGCUCUUCUUGGAUGAGUUGCGAACGGGUGAGUAACGCGUAGGUAACCUGCCUUGUAGCGGGGGAUAACUAUUGGAAACGAUAGCUAAUACCGCAUAACAAUGGAUGACACAUGUCAUUUAUUUGAAAGGGGCAAUUGCUCCACUACAAGAUGGACCUGCGUUGUAUUAGCUAGUAGGUGAGGUAACGGCUCACCUAGGCGACGAUACAUAGCCGACCUGAGAGGGUGAUCGGCCACACUGGGACUGAGACACGGCCCAGACUCCUACGGGAGGCAGCAGUAGGGAAUCUUCGGCAAUGGGGGCAACCCUGACCGAGCAACGCCGCGUGAGUGAAGAAGGUUUUCGGAUCGUAAAGCUCUGUUGUAAGUCAAGAACGAGUGUGAGAGUGGAAAGUUCACACUGUGACGGUAGCUUACCAGAAAGGGACGGCUAACUACGUGCCAGCCGCCGCGGUAAUAC